rnacentral:lncRNA from 1 species
GAACCCAAAUUUAUAAACAAGGGGCAAUGUCCUCUGACAAGGCUGGGCAUCCAGUUCCAAUCCAAAGGCUGCCCCUUUGACCAGGCCCAUCUUCUCCACCUCACAUCAGACAGCCAAUCGGCUGCCCAGACCUCGAAACCUCAGUAACCUAGAAGGAAAUGGACCUUGGCAAACGUGUGUCAGGAGAGGAUGACUUGGAGGUGUCCACCGUGUUUCUUACUGAAGGUGUCUAAAAGUCAAUUGGGGUCAAGGAACAAGCCUCUACUCACAUGCAUGUGGGCAAAUGAAGUCACAGAACAAAUAACCUACCCUGCAUCCAGGCACGGAGUCCAGGGACACCCCCUGCUGCUGCCUAAGAGAAAGUGGCCCAAGAAGCACUGGCCCGGUGCCUGCUGAUGCCAGGAGCCCUCUGCUACUGCCUGACACAAGCAUCCUGCGCUUCCCCCUCCCAGGCCCUCCCCGAAAGCGUGGGCCACAGGCCCCAGAAGGUCAUCCUCCAGGCUGUGAUCGUCACACAGGGGGUCCCACAUGGGGUCCUCACAGGCCUUCAACCCAGCACAAAUCGUGGCCUGGUUUGACCUUUGAAAUAUCUCAACAUCUAAAAUUCAGAGCUUUUUUGGAAUAUUUAUUUUCCAUAGA